rnacentral:rRNA from 1 species
GACGAACGCUGGCGGCGUGCCUAAUACAUGCAAGUCGAGCGGACAUUCCGGAGUGUUUGCCCUCCGGAAGGUUAGCCGCGGAGGGGUGAGAAACAUGUAGGCAACCCCUCCAAAAGUGCGGUAUAACAGUCAGAACCGAACGCAAAUACCGGAUAGUCGGGCUUCUCGCAUGUGGGUAGUGGGAAAGGCGGAUGAAUCUGCCUCUAAUGGAUGGGCCUGCGGCGCAUUAGCUAGUUGGUGGGGUAACGGCCUACCAAGGCGACGAGGCGUAGCCGACCUGAGAGGGUGAUCGGCCACACUGGAACUGAGACACGGCCCAGACUCCUACGGGAGGCAGCAGUAGGGAAUCUUCCGCAAUGGGCGAAAGCCUGACGGAGCAACGCCGCGUGAGUGAGGAAGGCCUUCGGAUCGUAAAGCUCUGUUGCCAGGGAAGAACGAAUGGGGGAGUAACUGUGCUUGCCAUGACGGUACCUAAGAAGAAAGCCCCGGCUAACUACGUG